UUCGGUAAUAGACCGUCGCGAGAACACCACAGAGAAGACAACUUUUCCGUCUGCUCUCGUGGAGUCUGAGAUGGACUGUUUUUUUAUCGUUUGGUGAAACGGUAUCUGUGAGAACUGACAACCUCGCCUGUAACCGCGCUCCCUCUGUGGCCCCUUUGACAGUGGUUGUGGUUUGUGUUGUACGGAAUUGAAGCCUGACAGAAAUCUAUCAUGCCUACCUACACUCUGUGGGUUCCCUUGAGUGAUUUCAAGACCGAUAAGCCAUAUUGAAUGACGGCACUGUAAAACUUUAAAUUUCAGUGAUUAGGUUAUAUUUAGUACUGUUAUAACUAGGCUGAAGAGUCUGAUCAGUCUGAUUCACAUGGUCCAAUAAUUUAAGUAUGUCACACAUGGGCAAAUAACACGUUUACCACGUACUACCAAGUACGAUUUUAAGUCUGAUCAAGACAUGACAAAGUGAUGGCAGACGAGCAUUCCUGUCCCCCCUGUGAAUUUAAUGUUGCUUCAAUUUUUCUCCUAGAAAACAGCAGUACACUUCAGAAAUCAUUGACAAUCCUUUCUUCUAGCUUCCCCAAUGAUUCAAAACCUCUGAUAGGUAGUGGAUGGAUGCUGCUGUGAAUGACUGAAUAAAAUGGUGAUAUUAAUCAAUCAAUGUAUACAUGCAGUAACAUGUUGGCUUUGAAUGGAAGGAAAGCUGAUGUGAUGCCCCUUUCUCUCUCUCUCACAAUGUGGGGGUUGUGAUUGUCUGUGGCUGGUGUGCACAAGAUGGUGAAGUUAACACCCAAUCAUGUCAUACCCCAAUUACCUCCAGGUACUACAAUCUGCCAUUGUCACACCAGACUGACCACAGACCUGUAUCACUGAUCAAUUUUUAAAAAUGCAUUCAAAGGAACACCUCAUUCAAAGCAUUGCCAACACCUGCAGUUGGAUAUUUGAUUAGCUGUCAGUGAUGGCGUGAAAUGUUAUAUGUCCAGGUUUCAGCAGGACAAGCAUUGUGCCCCAUCCAUAAGAGAGAGCAGAUUAAGCUUUUCUGUGUGACUUGUGAUCAGCGGACUUGCCGUGAUUACCUCGACUAACCUGUAAGUAAGCAUUUCACUGUAAGCUCUACGGCGCAUGUGGCAUACGAUUUGAUUGUCAGCUAACCAUCAACAGGGAACACAAGUAAGAUUUCCCUCAAGCACCUCUUUGCUGGCAACCCCGAAGGUGGCAUCAGUUCCCUCAUGCCUUACAUUACUUCCUAUGCCAAAAACACUUGAUGUUUUUUUUAAACUAAGUAUAUUUAACUCUUUCCUCUGCUUCCUUCAGGAUAUUUUUUUUAAAGAUCCCACUCUCUCAUUUUUCUGUUUAUUUUCUCUAGGUACCAGUUAGCCCAGGAUGCUUUGCCAGAGCAGAGGAAAUGGUUACAGUAUCUAAUGGAGACUUUGAGGACAGAGAGAGUGACCGUGCAACAGGACCUAGAUGGACGGCUGUCUGACUUGGAGGAUCAGCUGGAGAGUGUUGGAGCGGAGGUCAAGGAUAUCCUCAAGGGCAUCUGGAGUGUCCUGGUGAAGAGAGCCAUGCAGCUUUCCAAGGAAAUGCAGCUUUAGGUCAGUGUCCCCAACUGCACUCAGGAAGAUGACAUUGACCUCACCCUUCACCUAGCAAUGAACUCUGCUCUCCUAUAGAGGAGUGUGAUGACCGUAUGGAUGAUUUUCAUGUCGGUGCUGCUGACAGUAUUGAAGAGACUGGGUGCCAGGUGUCUGUUGGGCUUAAUAGCAGGUGUCUUUGCUUCGGAUACCCAUCCUUGGUGCCCCGCCAACCCGCUUCUGCCGCCUCCCAGGUGUCAAAGGGCAGGAAACUGUCGUUCAGCAGUCAGAGUCUCCUUGCUCCUCUAUGUUGAGCCCAGACAGUCUUGAGGCACACCCCGUGCAGCUACGACCCCCUCCUGGCCAGGAGGAAGCUCACCCCUGUGUGUCACGUGUGGACGCCGCUUCCACAGGAAGUGUCACAUUCUGCCCAUCUAUGCCUUAUCCACCACCUCUCUUAACAUCGUCCUGAUACGGGGACUGUUGCUGCGGAAACUGCCCCCUCCCCUCACCGCACCCAGUCAGAAUUUGUGUCCAAUGUCUGGCUUCUCCACACACUGUUGAAGAGCGUGAAGUAUUCCAAGUCAGUGGACCGAUUUGAGGCAUGUUUCGGGAGGGAGCUGGUCAAAACGCUUGUGGGGAUCCUGCACCCUUCGCUGCUCGUCAACCCCCACCAAGGGGAAGCGGAGAGGAGUGCAGAACAAGAGGGGGGCAAGGAGAAAGUGUCCAUGAGGAGAAUCCAAGGCCUCUAGAGGAGCACGCAGGCAGAGUUCUUUCACACAGGACUCGAUGAAAGCUGGAGAAUGGCAGCAGAAGGCCGUAUUUGUGUAUUUAAUUUGGUCUUUGAAUUCCUUGGUGAACAUAUUUGUACAUAGUUGCAGCCAAAUAUUGGCACCCUUGCACUUUUUUUUCCUUUAAAAAAAAAAAUUUCUUCUAAAAUAACUUGAAAUUUGGAAAAACCUUUGGUAUCUACACCUUACUGUAUUUUCAACAUUACAGACCCAAUUUACCCAAUUGGUAAAUUUAAGUUUACAAUUUGGCAUGUACAAAAUGAUUGGCAAGUACUUGGUUGCAUAGCCUUUGGCCAAGAACUACAGACAAAUGCUUCUUGUAGGCAUCAGUAAGGUGGCUGCAUCUUAUUACUGGUGAUUUUACUCAGCCUUCAGAAGCAAACUGCUCUAAUUCUUUAAUGUUUGAGGGGUGCCCUCCACCAACUGCUGUUGUCAGCUCUCGCCAUAGGUUAUGGAUGUGGCAACUGCUCGGCCUCGUUCCUGCCAUCCAGGACCUCCUAUACCAGGCGGUGUCAGAGGAGGCCCUAAAAAUUGUCAGACUCCAGCCACCCUAGUCAUAGACUGUUCUCUCUGCUACCACACGGCAAGCUGUGCCAAGUCUAGGUCCAAAGGUCUUAACAGCUUCUACCCCCAAGCCAUAACUCCUGAACAGCUAAUCAAAUGGCUACCCAGACUAUUUUCAUUGCCCCCUUUCCUGCACCUAUUUUAUGCUGCUGCUACUCUCUGUGUAUUAUCUAUACAUAGUCACUUUAACUCUACCUACAUGUACAUAUUACUUCUACUAACCGGUACCUACUCACAUUGACUCUGUACCGGUAGCCCCUGUAUAUAGCCUCGCUAUUUGUUAUUUUACUGCUGCUCUUUAAUCAUUUGUUACUUUUUAUAUAAUUUGGUUGUGUGUGUAUAUAUAAAAAAUAAAAUAUAUAUAUAUUUUUUUUUACUUAACACUUGUUUUUCUUACAAGUUAAGUAAGCAUUUCACUGUAAGGUCAACACCGGUUGUAUUCGGCGCAUGUGACAAAUACAAUUUGAUUUGAUUCAGAUCUGGCCACUCCAGAACAGUCCAGCGUUUCUUCUUGAACCAUUCCAGGGUGCCUUUAUAUUUGUUUGGGGUUGUUGUCCUGCUGAAAUUACCAUCAACCUUCCAACCGAGACCAAGUGUUUGGACACUGGGUUGAACAUUGCACUCCAAAACACCUUCAUAAUCUGCGGUUUUGCUUAUGUACAAGGCCCCAAGCACUAGAGGCAGCAAAGCAACCCCACAGCAUUAUCAAACCUUCCCUAUGUGUGUAGUUAUUUUCUUAAUUUGGUUGUUGGUUAACAUAGGAAGCCCCCCACUGCCGAAGAAGACUCAAGAAAGCCUGAUUGAAUGCUGGACUGUAGUGGAGUGGCCAGCCAAUAUUCCAGAUCUACAUCCCAUCCAAAACCUAUGGUAAGAGCUGAAAAUAGCAGUUGGAAGAAUAAGAGCAAUUUGCUGUGAAGUGGGACAAAUUGCCAGUAGGAAGGUGCAGCAAGCUCAUUGAUGGUACAAGAAGUGUUUGUCUGCAGUUGGCCAAAGGCUGUAAUUUUGUCUGCCAAUUGUUUUUCUUUUCUAAAUUAGUAGUUUGCAAAAAUACAAUGGGUUCUAGAAUGUUGCAAAUCCAAGGUCUGGAGACAAAGUUCUCAAUUUCAAACUAUUUUUGAAGAAAUGGGGAAUUAAUUGAGAAGUGCAAGGGUGCCAACUAGUUUGUUACAAAGUUUAUCCCUUGUGUAAAAAUCAACAAUGUUGCACAUGGUUUGAC
ensembl:lncRNA